rnacentral:misc_RNA from 1 species
GAUGAAGAACGUAGUGAAAUGCGAUAAGUAGUGUGAAUUGCAGAAUUCAGUGAAUCAUCGAAUCUUUGAACGCACAUUGCGCCCUUUGGUAUUCCUUAGGGCAUGCCUGUUCGAGCGUCAUUUAAACCUUCAAGCUCAGCUUGGUGUUGGGUGACUGUCCGCCGCCUCCGGGCGCGUGGACUCGCCUCAAAAUUAUUGGCGGCCGGUACAUUGGCUUCGAGCGCAGCAGAAACGCGAACUCGGGCCCGUCGUAUUGGCUCCCAGAAGCUAUCUUCACAAUUUUGACCUCGGAUCAGGUAGGGAUACCCGCUGAACUUAAGCAUAUCAAUAAGCGGAGA